rnacentral:rRNA from 1 species
GGAGCCUACGGGAGGCAGCAGUGGGGAAUAUUGGGCAAUGGGCGCAAGCCUGACCCAGCAACGCCGCGUGAAGGAAGAAGGCUUUCGGGUUGUAAACUUCUUUUCUCAGGGACGAAGAAAGUGACGGUACCUGAGGAAUAAGCCACGGCUAACUACGAGCCAGCAGCCGCGGUAAUACGUAGGUGGCAAGCGUUAUCCGGAUUUAUUGGGUGUAAAGGGCGUGUAGGCGGGAGCGCAAGGCAGAUGGGAAAACUCAG